UACGUAGGGUGCGAGCGUUUAAUCGGAAUACUGGCGUAAAGCGUGCGCAGGCGGUUAUGUAAGACAGUUGUGAAAUCCCCGGGCUCAACCUGGGAAUUGCAUCUGUGACUGCAUAGCUAGAGUACGGGUAGAGGGGGAUGGAAUUCCGCGUGUAGCAGUGAAAUGCGUAGAGAUGCGGAGGAACACCGAUGGCGAAGGCAGCCCCCUGGGCUAACACUGACGCUCGAGGCA
rnacentral:rRNA from 1 species